rnacentral:rRNA from 1 species
CCCUUAGACGUUCUGGGCCGCACGCGCGCUACACUGACCAGUGCAACAAGCAUCCGUCCUUGGCCGACAGGCCCGGGCAAUCUUUGAACGCCGGUCGUGAUGGGGAUAGACUUUUGCAAUUUUUGGUCUUCAACGAGGAAUUCCUAGUAAACGCAAGUCAUCAACUUGCAUUGAUUACGUCCCUGCCCUUUGUACACACCGCCCGUCGCACCUACCGAUUGAAUGGUCCGGUGAAGCCUCCGGAUUGGCGCGCACCUCGGUGCCGCCGAGAAGUUGGCUAAACCUUACCAUUUAGAGGAAGGUGAANUCGUAACA